UCCUACGGGAGGCUGCAGUGGGGAAUAUUGGACAAUGGGCGCAAGCCUGAUCCAGCCAUGCCGCGUGAGUGAUGAAGGCCUUAGGGUUGUAAAGCUCUUUCGCCAGGGACGAUAAUGACGGUACCUGGAUAAGAAGCCCCGGCAAACUUCGUGCCAGCAGCCGCGGUAAUACGAAGGGGGCUAGCGUUGUUCGGAAUCACUGGGCGUAAAGCGCAUGCAGGCGGAUCGUUAAGUCGGGGGUGAAAUCCCGAGGCUCAACCUCGGAACUGCCUCCGAUACUGGCGAUCUUGAGUCCGGAAGAGGUGAGUGGAAUUGCGAGUGUAGAGGUGAAAUUCGUAGAUAUUCGCAAGAACACCAGUGGCGAAGGCGGCUCACUGGUCCGGUACUGACGCUGAGAUGCGAAAGCGUGGGGAGCAAACAGGAUUAGAUACCCUUGUAGUC
rnacentral:rRNA from 2 species